rnacentral:ncRNA from 1 species
ACAACUGGUUUGGGGUGCUUCUACUCCCGAUUCUUUUCGGGCGUACGGGGCUGAGAACACACCCACUGAACCUGCUCUAGUUAGAACUAGCGAAGGGAAACCCAUGCAGGAGCAU